UACGAAGGUCCCAAGCGUUAUCCGGAUUUAUUGGGUUUAAAGGGUGCGUAGGUGGGCAGGUAAGUCAGUGGUGAAAUCUCCGGGCUUAACUCGGAAACUGCCAUUGAUACUAUCUUUCUUGAAUACCGUGGAGGUCAGCGGAAUAUGUCAUGUAGCGGUGAAAUGCUUAGAUAUGACAUAGAACACCAAUUGCGGAGGCAGCUGGCUACACGAAUAUUGACACUGAUGCACGAAAGCGUGGGGAUCAAACAGG
rnacentral:rRNA from 1 species